rnacentral:rRNA from 1 species
UGACCUUUGACCUCAAAUCAGGUAGGGUUACCCGCUGAACUUAAGCAUAUCAAUAAGCGGAGGAAAAGAAACUAACAAGGAUUCCCCUAGUAACUGCGAGUGAAGCGGGAAAAGCUCAAAUUUAAAAUCUGGCGGUCUUUGGCCGUCCGAGUUGUAGUCUGGAGAAGUGCUUUCCGCGCUGGACCGUGUACAAGUCUCUUGGAACAGAGCGUCAUAGAGGGUGAGAAUCCCGUCUUUGACACGGACUACCAGUGCUUUGUGAUGCGCUCUCAAAGAGUCGAGUUGUUUGGGAAUGCAGCUCAAAAUGGGUGGUAAAUUCCAUCUAAAGCUAAAUAUUGGCGAGAGACCGAUAGCGAACAAGUNCCGUGAGGGAAAGAUGAAAAGCACUUUGGAAAGAGAGUUAAACAGUACGUGAAAUUGCUGAAAGGGAAACGCUUGAAGUCAGUCGCGUUGAUCAGGACUCAGCCUUGCUUUUGCUUGGUGCAUUUUCUGGUUGACGGGCCAGCAUCGAUUUUGAUCGCCGGAAAAAGGCUGGGGGAAUGUGGCACCUUCGGGUGUGUUAUAGCCUUCAGUCACAUACGGCGGUUGGGAUCGAGGACCGCAGCACGCCUUUAUGGCCGGGGUUNGCCCACGUUCGUGCUUAGGAUGCUGGCGUAAUGGCUUUAAACGACCCGUCUUGAAACACGGACCAAGGAGUCUAACAUGCCUGCGAGUGUUUGGGUGGUAAACCCGAGCGCGUAAUGAAAGUGAAAGUUGAGAUCCUUGUCAUGGGGAGCAUCGACGCCCGGACCUGAACUUCGGUGAUGGCUCUGCGGUAGAGCAUGUAUGUUGGGACCCGAAAGAUGGUGAACUAUGCCUGAAUAGGGUGAAGCCAGAGG